GUUGCACUUUAAUUAGUUCUGUACAAAAUCCAUUUUUCAGCUGGUCUUUUCUGCUACCCAUCAGACAGACUCUUGUUUUUGUACCUUAUUGUCAGGAGGCUUGAGAAUUUUGUUCUAAUUUAUCUACAUAAGUUUUAUCAACUUACCUAUCCUUUCAAAGUGGCUGAGGGUUCUAUGAUAGUUAUUCCAUUAAACAUCUUUUCAUUCCAGGCUGCACAGACUUUGUAGUCUGAAAAUGCUCCAUGCAUUUCAUUGGAGAUCCAGUAAAGUGUGGAGCCAGGUUUGCUGCAAACUGCUAGAAAAAGAUUGCCCCAUAAUAUGCAGGCCAUUCUCACUUAAUCAGUAACAUGCCAUGCUCCUCCUAGGAAAAUUUCAAAAAAGUUAUCUUCUCCUUUGAAAUACAAAGGAAAAGCCUUUCUUUCAUCAAAUGAAUGAGAUGGGGUGGGGAGAGAACACUUGGGUGCAGUUAUAUUAAUGGAGCCAAAGGGGGAGGGUGGGAAGACUAUUGGUAACUGUACUUGAUUAGAAUGAUAGAUUGACUUAGCUGCAGGUCUCCCUAAAAUUCACAACUAUUCUUAUUCUUCCUAUGCAGAAAAACAGAUGCCGCUUCCACACCUUUUUGCAGAACAAAACCUCCCUCUGAAAGAUGUGCAAGAUUUCUAACCUGUCUUCUGCACUCUGCAGUUCUCUGCCCUCACACAGUGGAGAAAGGUCUUCCUUGCUGAUCGAUUUUUCUCUGAGUUAUCUGCUGCCAGCCAAAUGAGUAUUGUCUGACAAUCUUUUCUCCUUGAACAUCUUCUCAAAGAAGAUUCAACCACAGUGCCACUCAAUCAUUCUUACACGGCUUCUACAGUUCUUCUUACAUCACAGAAGGAGAAAGGAAGGAGAAUGGCACAUUCACAUUUCAGAACACAGGAAUUCUGCAAAAUAAUUGAAGACAUCUGAAUUUAUAGGUUAAGGUCAUCCUGAAGUCUGAAAGGUGAAUGUUUCAGAGGGAGUGGCUAAAGCAAAG